rnacentral:rRNA from 1 species
CUUGUACACGCCGCCCGUCACACCAUGGGAGUGGGUUUCACCAGAAGUAGGUAGCUUAACCUUCGGGAGGGCGCUUACCACGGUGAGAUUCAUGACUGGGGUG